GAGCGCAAAUAAAGUUGUUUUUUUGUGACGCCGCGUGUGGUGAGAUAUCGAAGCGCGCUUUGUGGCGCACGUUGCGCAUUGUCCAGUGAGUGAACUGCAAACGUAAACAGAUAGUAUCAAGUGCCCGAAAUAAACACAAAUCAUAACAACAACAACAACAAAUCAAAAGCUACAACAACAACAACAAGAGCCCUUCUGUGAGAUUCGUGCGGGCCGUUUAAGGUAAUUGACUAAGUGGAGGACAAUAAGGACUUGAGGUAUUUCAUACAUGUUUGGCUGCACAGAUGAGUGCCAGGAAAAAGAGGCUCCACUGCAGUUGAGGCGGAGUAAGCGAAGCUCAAGCUGUGCUUGUUGACCAAGGGCCUAGCUAUCAGCUAGCACAAAGAGAGGCAGAGAGGAUAAGAGAGAGACAGAGACCGAGAGAGAGAGAGAUAAAGCUGAAAAAGYGGCACACAAUGCGAAACAAAAGGCAAAUGUGGCAAAAACUCUGAAGAGGACUCGUGCAUAUUGAAUUACGCGACAAGUGCAAGCAAGUUUGAGGCAUUUUAAACUGUUUAUGCUUCAGUGGGUGAGCGGGUGAGCGGGUGAGUGGCUGAGCGGGUGAGUGGGUGAGUGGCUUCAGCUUGAGUGGCAAGCGGGCUGUUGCAUGCCUGUCUGUCCGACUGUCCGUCUCGCCAUUAGUGUGAGUGCGCAGUGAAUGCGACUAAGUGAGUGUAUGAACGCCAUUAUUUUGUUAUAACAAUGGUAAAGUUUUUGAGCAGAGUUGCCUACGAGCUGCGAGCUGCGAGCUGCGAGCGCUGAGAGCUAAAAGCCGAAAGCUGCGGAGAGCCGCCCGGCAGCUCCACCUAAGCGAACAUCGCCCUAUAACUGCAGCAAACACUUAACACAAUCAAUACACACUUAUUCACACUCCCACACACACACACACACACACACAUACACGCACACACACACAGGCGCGUAUGCUGUGUGAAAAUGAGUAAAGGAAAAUGAGUUAAUGGAAAUUCUUAGCAACUAUUGUGAUUUGACAGCAGCGUGUAAACUUGAGCACAAAAGACGCCGCCAAUGCUGCCACAGCCGACGCAGCAGCCCCUCCUCCUCCGCCACCUCCUCCCCCUGCCCACAUUGGCGACCCGACACUCGGCGAAUGCUGUUAAAGUGUUGGAGCAACUGCACAAAGGCGACCAAAAACUGACAAUUUAAAGAAAAUUGCAAAGGAAACUCCCUAAAAGCAAGCCAGCGGCCAUAUGGGCGGGGCGGGACGCAGCGAGGGCAUGCCCUCAACUUAGGACACUCUAUACAUACGUAUAUAUACAUAUACAUAUAUAUAUAUAUGUAUUUGCUUUUGUGUGCCGUUUGAAAGAGCGGCUAAAAAAGACAUACAAAAACAACAACAACAGCAACAGCGGCAAAAGAAGGAAGAAAAGAAAAUCCAACUUCGACUUAGCUUCAAAAAUAAUGAGUGGCAAAGGAAGUGCUAAGAUGAGUAGUUCGAGAGCUAAAAAGAAAUACGCACAGAGACGGCACACACACACACACACACACACACAUGUAUACAUACACAGCAUAUGUGUUGUGUUGGCUUCAGUGAGAACGCUUGAAAUGCUGCGAUAACUCCCAAUACACAAACGCAUCAUUAUCCACAGAGAGCGAGAGAGGGAGAGAGAGACAGCGAGAGGCAGAG